ACAACAACAACAACAAGCUUGAAACUAGAAUGGCAGCUUUUUAUUUCUUCCACUUCUUCUUCGUGUUGUUCACAACAUUAAAGUUUUUCUUCUAUUUUAUCCUAGAAAUAUCUUGAUGAUGAUGAUGAUAGAAAUGGUGGUGGUGGUGACGAUGAUGGUGGAUCACAAGGUUGAAUAAUUUAUUUCAUUCCAAUCGUUACAAUCAUGCAUGUAUUUUGAAAAAUGAGUAAAUAAAGUCCAUAAAAAUAAAGUUCAAGUCACGAUUGAUUUGAUUAAUGAUUAAAAAACAAAAAGGAAAAUGGCCACCAUUUUAUCGUUCUGAAAUAGUUUGACAAACACACACACAUACACACUAAGAAUGAAAUAUUCAAUAUCUGAAAAAGUCAAAGGCGCGCAACUCACGCCAGUUGUAUCAUAUAAAUAUACCGCGCUUGCUUAUAAUAAACGAUCACAUUGUAUGAUUCUACACCGUGUACAAACUCUAUGACUGAUUGGCGAUAGAAACCAGUUUUUCUCAUGCAGCUGCAUACUGACAAAACCAUGCUUUAUUUGUUUUUUGUUUCAUCGAGUUCAAAAUUAAAGUUAUAAUUUGUAUCAUCAAUUGUUUCAUCAUUCAACUGUUCUACUUUCAAUGAUCCAUUCAUAUUCUGAUUUCGAAUUCAGUAUCAAAUAAAAUUGCAGAGAUAAUAGAAUAGAAUUGUUACAUUAUUCAUUCAUUCAUCAUUUGACAAAGUUGUGGUCCAUU